rnacentral:rRNA from 1 species
GCGAAAGCAGGUCUUAGUGAUCCGGUGGUUCUGAAUGGAAGGGCCAUCGCUCAACGGAUAAAAGGUACUCCGGGGAUAACAGGCUGAUACCGCCCAAGAGUUCAUAUCGACGGCGGUGUUUGGCACCUCGAUGUCGGCUCAUCACAUCCUGGGGCUGAAGUAGGUCCCAAGGGUAUGGCUGUUCGCCAUUUAAAGUGGUACGCGAGCUGGGUUUAGAACGUCGUGAGACAGUUCGGUCCCUAUCUGCCGUGGGCGCUGGAGAAUUGAGGGGGGCUGCUCCUAGUACGAGAGGACCGGAGUGGACGCAUCACUGGUGUUCGGGUUGUCAUGCCAAUGGCAUUGCCCGGUAGCUAAAUGCGGAAGAGAUAAGUGCUGAAAGCAUCUAAGCACGAAACUUGCCCCGAGAUGAGUUCUCCCUGAGACUAUAAGUCUCCUGAAGGAACGUUGAAGACGACGACGUUGAUAGGUCGGGUGUGUAAGUGUAGCGAUACAUUGAGCUAACCGAUACUAAUGAACCGUGAGGCUUAACCUUACAACGCCGAAG